AACUCCUUUGUGCCGGAUCUUGCAAUGGUACCCAAAUUGUUUACCAAGUCUGUUCAGACAAAUAAUCAAAACCCUGAAUACAGAACCGGGCCAUAGUAAACGGCUAACUUAUGCCGUGACCAAUAAAUUGCUCCUAAACCAGGUAAAUUGCUCUUUUAAUUCUGAAUUCAAAAGAUUUUUCCCGCUAGCUGUUUAAAGUCGACAGUGCCAACGAAAAAAAAAAAAAAGGUUCGACCCAAAAAGAAAAAUAAUCAUCUACUCCAGGCUUCUAAAACUAUUCUGUUUUUAAAUUUCUACUACCAGAUGAAGCAGACUUCAGCCAAAAGCAAACAAUCUUGUGGAGUAAGGGCAUAAGCAAUAAACAACACCUCCUUUCAUUUUUCCAGGCAACUAGAAACGUAGAGUUCUUUUCUUCUCUUGAUACAAACGAAUCUCCUUCUUCUUCUAUCUUCAACUUUUCUUCGGCCCUAAUAUUCUACUUAUUUCAUCUUUUAAGCACAAUUUUGAAGAUAAUAAAACACAAAAGGACAGAAACACGAAGAAUAGAUUAAACUAAUUGAACUCAUUAC
rnacentral:lncRNA from 1 species